CUGUUAGAAGCCCUGGGUUACGGAAGAGAAUUCUCGCGUGGAAACCAGCGACUAGCGACUAGUGUUCAGUUAGAUUAGGACCAACCCCGGCACUCAGCUGCACAGGAACAAUGGCGAGCCUCUCUGGGCGCCUCACUGGAUCAGAAGGGCAGAGGACACCCUGCUGGAUCUGGAGGAGUGGAAGUCAAUGGCGGGUCUGCGAGGGCGGCGUUCAGCGGUGGUGGACGGAGGGUGUUGAGCGGUGGUGGAGGACGGCCUUCAGCGGUGGUGGACGAGUCUCACUCUUGUCACCAGGCUGGAGUGCAUUGGCGCGAUCUUGGCUCACUGCAACCUCUGCCUCCCGGGUUCAAGCGAUUCUCCUGCCUCAGCCUCCCGAGUAGCUGGAACUACAGGUGCUGGACAAAGAUCAGACCAGAUGUGAGGAAUGCUGAAAAUGAAAG
rnacentral:lncRNA from 1 species